rnacentral:rRNA from 1 species
ACGAGGGCCCUCGGGCCCGAAGCAACUGAUACCCUGCUUCCAGGAAAAGCCUCUAAGCUUCAGUCAUAGAGUGACCGUACCGCAAACCGACACAGGUGGGCUGGUAGAGAAUACCAAGGCGCUUGAGAGAACUCAGGAGAAGGAACUCGGCAAAUUGAUACCGUAACUUCGGGAGAAGGUAUGCCCCGUUAGCUUGUAGGAGUACAUCCGAAGGGCGAAGGGGCCGCAGAGAAUCGGUGGCUGCGACUGUUUAUUAAAAACACAGCACUGUGCAAACACGAAAGUGGACGUAUACGGUGUGACGCCUGCCCGGUGCCGGAAGGUUAAGUGAUGGGGUGCAAGCUCUUGAUCGAAGCCCCGGUAAACGGCGGCCGUAACUAUAACGGUCCUAAGGCGAAAUUCCUUGUCGGGUAAGUUCCGACCUGCACGAAUGGCGUAACGAUGGCCACACUGUCUCCUCCUGAGACUCAGCGAAGUUGAAAUGUUUGUGAAGAUGCAAUCUACCCGCGGCUAGACGGAAAGACCCCAUGAACCUUUACUGUAGCUUUGCAUUGGACUUUGACGGGAUUUGUGUAGGAUAGGUGGGAGGCUAUGAAACCAGGACGCUAGUUCGGGUGGAGCCAACCUUGAAAUACCACCCUGGUGUCGUCGAGGUUCUAACCCAGGUCUGUGAAUCCAGAUCGGGGACCGUGCAUGGUGGGCAGUUUGACUGGGGCGGUCUCCUCCUAAAGCGUAACGGAGGAGUACGAAGGUCACCUAGGUACGGUCGGACAUCGUACUGAUAGUGCAAUGGCAAAAGGUGGCUUGACUGCGAGACCCACAAGUCGAGCAGGUGCGAAAGCAGGUCAUAGUGAUCCGGUGGUUCUGUAUGGAAGGGCCAUCGCUCAACGGAUAAAAGGUACUCUGGGGAUAACAGGCUGAUUCCGCCCAAGAGUUCACAUCGACGGCGGAGUUUGGCACCUCGAUGUCGGCUCAUCACAUCCUGGGGCUGUAGCCGGUCCCAAGGGUAUGGCUGUUCGCCAUUUAAAGUGGUACGUGAGCUGGGUUUAAAACGUCGUGAGACAGUUUGGUCCCUAUCUGCCGUGGGCGCUGGAAGUUUGAGAGGGCUUGCUCCUAGUACGAGAGGACCGGAGUGAACGCACCCCUGGUGUACCGGUUGUGACGCCAGUCGCAUCGCCGGGUAGCUAUGUGCGGAAGAGAUAACCGCUGAAAGCAUCUAAGCGGGAAACUCGCCUCAAGAUGAGACUUCCCCGGGGCCUCGAGCCCCCUGAAGGGUCGUUGAAGACCACAACGUUGAUAGGUCGGGUGUGGAAGCGUGGCAACACGUUAAGCUAACCGAUACUAAUUGCCCGUGUGGCUUGAUCCU